GAUGAACGCUGGCGGCGUGCCUAAUACAUGCGAGUCGAGCGAACGGACGAGAAGCUUGCUUUUCUGAUGUUAGCGGCGGACGGGUGAGUAACACGUGGAUAACCUACCUAUAAGACUGGGAUAACUUCGGGAAACCGGAGCUAAUACCGGAUAAUAUUUUGAACCGCAUGGUUCAAAAGUGAAAGACGGUCUUGCUGUCACUUAUAGAUGGAUCCGCGCUGCAUUAGCUAGUUGGUAAGGUAACGGCUUACCAAGGCAACGAUGCAUAGCCGACCUGAGAGGGUGAUCGGCCACACUGGAACUGAGACACGGUCCAGACUCCUACGGGAGGCAGCAGUAGGGAAUCUUCCGCAAUGGGCGAAAGCCUGACGGAGCAACGCCGCGUGAGUGAUGAAGGUCUUCGGAUCGUAAAACUCUGUUAUUAGGGAAGAACAUAUGUGUAAGUAACUGUGCACACCUUGACGGUACCUAAUCAGAAAGCCACGGCUAACUACGUG
rnacentral:rRNA from 1 species